rnacentral:rRNA from 1 species
GACGAACGCUGGCGGCGUGCUUAACACAUGCAAGUCGAACGGAAAGGCCCUGCUUUUGUGGGGUGCUCGAGUGCCGAACGGGUGAGUAACACGAGAGUAACCUGCCCUUGACUUUGGGAUAACUUCAGGAAACUGGGGCUAAUACCGGAUAGGAGCUCCCGCUGCAUGGUGGGGGUUGGAAAGUUUCGGCGGUUGGGGAUGGACUCGCGGCUUAUCAGCUUGUUGGUGGGGUAGUGGCUUACCAAGGCUUUGACGGGUAGCCGGCCUGAGAGGGUGACCGGCGACAUUGGGACUGAGAUACGGCCCAGACUCCUACGGGAGGCAGCAGUGGGGAAUAUUGCACAAUGGGCGGAAGCCUGAUGCAGCAACGCCGCGUGCGGGAUGACGGCCUUCGGGUUGUAAACCGCUUUCGCCUGUGACGAAGCGUGAGUGACGGUAAUGGGUAAAGAAGCACCGGCUAACUACGUG